ACCGAUUAAUAUGGACCGUCGGAUGUUGACUAGGUUUAUGAAAUCUCCAACCUGAUUGCAACGUUUCCUCCGACCCCUUUGCUAGGGCCGCCAUCUCAGGUUCACGGACCCUCUACUCACACGGUCGCCCUCUCCCAUUAAGUCCCCCCUUGGUCCUCCCAGGCAUCGCUGCUGGUCCUCCUCCAUCGAUUGGGCUACGGGAUACUUUAGGGAAGCAAGGCAGUAGGGAGAAAGGGAGCGGAGAAAUUAGGAAGGGAGUAGCAGGAGAAAGGUUCGAUGAAUUCUAGUGGCGAGCGUGUGACGCCGGAUUCUCAGCAAGGUUAAGACAAGUGCAAUGACGAACCUCUUGAUGUGUGAUUAUAUUUGUGGCUUUCUUUCUGCCCUUGGGCGACGUUUAUUCAAUGUCUUUAUUUCAUAUGUAAAUUUCUUUAAGCAUCAUGUCAUAAUUUUUUGAUUCUAUCAAAUGUUCAAGAUCAGUGUGUUGCCUUUCAUAUCGUUCAAGUGCCGGGGGUUUGCAUAAACACCGGUUGUGCAAUUUGGUUCGUAUGUUCAGGUUCCUAUGAAUAAGUGCUGGCCCCACUUAUUCGGCUUUACGGAUAAAUGCUAAUAAAGUUUCAGGUGAUGUCCGUUUCAGGCGGAAACUACUGUUUCAUUGUUGUUCCAUUGAUUCUGAAUUUCCAUUGUUCAUGUACUUGCAAUCAUUUUUUUCCGGUUCUGAAAUUUGCUUCCUCAGUAUAUUUACUCACUCUUUGCUUAUUUGACUUAGGUACUCGCUGAUCAAGUUUGCAUGGGAUGGGAGUAGCCACUUCAUGAUGAGCAUACAUACACUCAUUCAUUAAACAAACAUCUAGGCUGAAUAAUUCUUUUGGUAUUGAGAAUUGUCACGUGGUUGUUUGGUUGUUGCUUAAGAUUUAUUUAUUUGGUUGUGUUAGUUGAUGAGAAAGUUUAUUUACUAUCUUUAUAUUCACUCUGCUAUAUUUAUAUUUUAGUGCCACAGAUUUUAGAAUUUACGAAGGAGCCUCUAUCAAAAUUUACUAGAAUUUUAAUAUUUAGUGCAAUUUAAUGUCUAAAGUGGUAACUUCCAAAUAUAUCGAUACUUCAGGUGUUACGCACGCAAGACGACCCCGGGGUCGCUGCACCGCGGCGCAGGGUCAACGGCCCGAGCGGCCCAUCCCGACGCCAGCCGCGGUACUAUGCUUCGGAGAGCAUGCUGUUGCUGGACCCCGAGACCGGGGAGUACAGCGACGAGAAGACGCCGAGCUGCGGCAAGGACACGCUCGAGCAGUUCUUCGAAAGAGUGAUAUCAGAUCACAUAUUUUUUCUUUUUUAUUUAAGUGUUAGAUCAUCUUUCCUUUUUUUUAAAUGUGUACGAUUUUUAAAAAAAAUACUACGAUCUUACCUCGUUGUGUAGAGGUGUGCACUCUGCAUCAUUAUGUGUAGAAGAGGUGUGCACUUUGCAUCUGGAGGCAUAUAACAGAAUGGCAUGGAGGGCAAACCAAUUUUGAGCCCCGAA